rnacentral:rRNA from 1 species
UACGAGGGGGGCGAGCGUUGUUCGGAAUUAUUGGGCGUAAAGGGUGCGUAGGCGGUUUGGUAAGUCUUAUGUGAAAUCUACAGGCUCAACUUGUAGUCUGCAUGAGAAACUGCCGGGCUUGAGUAUGGGAGAGGUGAGUGGAAUUCCUGGUGUAGCGGUGAAAUGCGUAGAUAUCAAGUGGAACACCAGUGGCGAAGGCGAGUCUCUGGACAUUUCCUGACGCUGAGGCACGAAAGCCAGGGGAGCAAACGGG